CCUCUUCUUUCCUUGGAAUUUUUAUUGUUUUGCUUUCCUGACGUGACGCUCACAUCGGCAGCUGAUCUAUACCAUGUCCGAACUUGAGGCUGAAUACCGGAGGUUCGGGAACGUCUGGGCGGCCUGGAAGGACAGGGCGGCGGCCGCCGAAGCCGACAGGGCGAUGCUGGUCGAGCACCUGAAGCAGUCGACCGAUCGGGAGGCGAAGCUGGUGGACGAGAUCUCUCGUCUCGGGUCUGAGCUAAAGUCGGCCC
rnacentral:lncRNA from 1 species